AUAUUCUCAGGGAAAAGGAAAACAUACUGAAAUUUUGUCUUGAUGAAAUGUCAACAAAUAAGGAAUUGAGAGGUAGAUGGAAUGAAAUAACACCGAAUUCAGACAUGGUAGCAUCUGUUGUGGUUUUGCAAAGAAUUGUCACUUUCUUCCUUAAGUCGAAGCAGCAAAUAAUUCGUGAAAAAGAAGGCCUUAAGCCGAAGAAAAAUAGCAUCGCUCACCGACAGCAAUUAAGUCGAAAUAAAAAAUGCUCUGCUGUAUCCCACACUCGGACAACAGUGGAUCAAUCCCACACUCAGACAACAGUGGAUCAAUCCCACACUCAGACAACAGUGGAUCAAUCACAUAUACAAACCUUGAGAAACAAUUUCAACAGUUCUUCAUUACAUGUGUUUUUACUUCAUUUGCAAACUCUGCCUUUUUCAGAACAGAAAAAUAUUUUGACAAAAUUCAAAGGGAAGGAACUUGGUAAAAUAUUGAAGUCAUUGGGACAGCCAGCAUUUUUUGGGAAAAAAAAAGAGAAACAAAUACAGACCCUCUUGGAUACAAUAAAGAGAGGACAGAUAUGCAUAAAUUUUCCCAAAGAGUUGGCAAAAUAACUCUCAAAGAUAAACUGGCCACAGUUGCGAGCAAUUUGGUGGCAGAAUAUGUGAUAGCACUGUUUACGUUAUAUCCAUAAGCAAUUGCAGUCAUGUUGGUUGUACCGCCACAUGAUUGCCUUUGCACCGAGAAGAAAGACUCAACUAGAUCUUGACUUAGUCGCUUUGGAAUCACAUAAUGGCUUCCUUGGAGGGAUUGGAUUUCAGGACUUCCAAUGAAUUUAACAAGUUCCUUAAAGCCGUUAAUUGAAACCUGCAAAGUCAAAGAAAACAGUUGGUCAAAUAAUAUUCAUUCCCAAGUUCAUACAUUCACUUUUUAAGUUCAAAAGGGUUUUGAUAUGAAUUUUAAAUUUUAUUAGAUAUGUAUGUGAAGAGUUAACUAAAAAUACUGGGUUGAUUAUAGUUAAUUAUGGCUUUCAAAUCAACUAUCAAAUCCGAUUAUUUUGCAUAGAUCAAAAAGUAGUCAUUAUG